rnacentral:rRNA from 1 species
GACGAACCGUGCAAACGUUAUUCGGAAUCACUGGGCUUAAAGGGCGCGUAGGCGGGCCGCCAGGUCCGGGGUGAAAGCCUCCAGCUCAACUGGAGAAGUGCCUUGGAUACCGGCGGCCUCGAGGGAGGUAGGGGCGUGCGGAACUUCGGGUGGAGCGGUGAAAUGCGUAGAUAUCGGGAGGAACACCGGGUGGCGAAGGCGGCACUCGGUGAGCGUACACGUACGCUGAGUGCGAAAGCCGGAGGGACAAACAGGG